CCUACGGGUGGCUGCAGUAGGGAAUAUUGGGCAAUGGAGGCAACUCUGACCCAGCCAUGCCGCGUGCAGGAUGAAGGCCCUCUGGGUUGUAAACUGCUUUUAUCUGGGAAGAAACCUUUGGAUUCAUCUGAAGCUGACGGUACCAGAGGAAUAAGCACCGGCUAACUCCGUGCCAGCAGCCGCGGUAAUACGGAGGGUGCAAGCGUUAUCCGGAUUUACUGGGUUUAAAGGGUGCGCAGGCGGACUGUUAAGUCAGUGGUGAAAGCCCCGGGCUC
rnacentral:rRNA from 1 species